ACGGGAAACUUCGUAGAAAGAAAACUCUGACACGUGUGAGAAGUGCGUCUGACUGAGGGUGAGAAACUGAACCCCGGUGUCCUCUCCAGGAAGCACGGGGUCAGUAUUUGAUUUGGAGGGACGCGGUGUUCUCAUCGCUCGUCCACUGUUACAUAUUCGUGCUCGGUCAUAGAGGCUCGGACUGACGUAACAGCUGGAGAAGGUGUUUUAUUUGGAAAGCUGCUCUCAAAAUCAAACAGCAGCGGCUAAAAGGGAAACUUCAGGCUCAUAAAGGGGCCUUUUUCCCCUCAGAUGUGUUUAAUUUGGGAGGUUAGUAAGGUAAGCAAGUGUAAACUCGCUACGGCGGAAAACAACCUGGACUGGAACUUUCUGCGCAGACAGACGCCGCCCUCACUUUCUGUCAAAUGUCCGUCUUUUUCUGUCUCGCUCUGCGUCUGUGUCUUUUUCCAGCCGGGGGAACAGAUUUAGAGGGAUUCUUUCUGCCUCUCCUCGGUGACAUAACAGGCGGGUUUGGAAGCCUGGAAAAACAACCUGCAGCCAUCUGUCUGCCAGCAAACAGGACGGACAAACAACACUGCACAGGAGGCAAAUACUCCGAGAAGCUCCUGAACAGUGAUUUCCUCUGUGAGCUCCGAGCUCCGGAAGGAGACUGAAGCUUACGAAAUUAAAUCUGCAAAGUCACAGCUGCUUCCUCCUUAUCCUCCACUGGCAACAAGACACCUGACAAAUCCUGUUUUCCUCCAGAGAGGGGACCCCAGGACAAAGAGUGGUUUUCAGAGACCACCAGUCACCCCUGUCACUCAGAGACAAAGAGCACAAACAAGAGGAGCAGGGAGGAGGAGGAGAAUAUUCAGGAUCAACGGAACCUGAGUCACAUGAAACUCUCCAAGUUCUAAACUUUGAGGUUUGAGACACUAAUCUGCAGGUGUGUCUGUUCCACGUCGAACCCAAAGAACAACGUGAUCCUUCCUUCCUGUCGGUGGAUUAAAACCUUUUCUAGACUUUGCCAAGCUGGCCUGAUAUUUCCCAGCAUCCUCAGCUCCGAGACCACAACCCCCCCCCUCCUCCACCUCCCUUAUUAUCCCGUCUCCUCCCUUUUGGUUCAGAGCUGCCACCUCAACAAUCAAACGUGCAGAGACACUGUGGCUCUUGAACUCGCUCACACUGCUGCCAACGCAAACUGUUUCCAACAGGUGAGAAGAAAAUCUCAGGAAAAGACGAAUGAAGAUUCUACAAGUUUUCAAAAAAUCCAGAAUAUCUAAAACUAUUUGAAUAAAUCAGUGUUUGUAAAGUUAAAGAUGCCUCCAGACAUGUUUUUUAUGAUAUAUUAGAUUUUAACUUAGCAAACAAAGCUGGAUGAGCGAGUUAGAAUAUCUUAUUUAUGCAUCUUCUCCUUCUCUCUUAUUUAAAAUAUAUCA